rnacentral:rRNA from 1 species
UUCCUUUAGCAAAUAUUUAAAGGUAGUGCCUGCUCAGUGUUAAGUAUAAAUAGCUGCGGUAUUUUAACUGCACUAAGGUAGCAUAAUUAAUUGUCUUUUAAAUGGUGACUUGUUUGAAUGGUUUAAUGAGAGAAAGAUCUUUUUUGAAUUUUUGAGAAUUUAUAUUUUAAGGUUAAAAUACCUAAAUGAAAAAGAAAGACGAGAAGACCCUGUUGAGUUUUACAAGUAGUUUGUUUAAAUGGGAAAUUUAAGCUUUUUUUAAGCUUUUUUUGAUCCUGUAAUUGAUGGAAGAAGGAUUAAAUUACCACAGGGAUAACAGGACUAUAUCUACUGAGAGUUCUUAUUGAAGUAGGUGGUUGUUACCUCGAUGUUGAAUCGAAAAUUACUUAUUGGUGCAGCAGCCGAUUAAGUAGGUCUGUUCGACCUUUAAAAUUUC